ACAAGGAUUCCCCUAGUAACGGCGAGUGAAGCGGGAAGAGCUCAAAUUUGAAAUCUGGUGGCCUCAGGUCAUCCGAGUUGUAAUCUAUAGAAGUGUUUUCCGUGCUGGCUCAUGUACAAGUCCCUUGGAACAGGGCGUCAUAGAGGGUGAGAAUCCCGUCCUUGACAUGAACUACCAGUGCUCUGUGAUACAUUUUCAACGAGUCGAGUUGUUUGGGAAUGCAGCUCAAAAUGGGUGGUAAAUUCCAUCUAAAGCUAAAUAUUGGCGAGAGACCGAUAGCGAACAAGUACCGUGAGGGAAAGAUGAAAAGCACUUUGGAAAGAGAGUUAAACAGUAUGUGAAAUUGUUGAAAGGGAAACGAUUGAAGUCAGUCGUGCUCUUUGGAUUCAGCCGGUUCUGCCGGUGUACUUCCUUUGAGUGGGGUCAACAUCAGUUUUGAUCGCUGGAUAAAGGCUGGAGGAACGUAGUACCCUCGGGUAAACUUAUAGCCUCCUGUCACAUACAGUGGUUGGGACUGAGGAACGCAGCACGCCUUUAUGGCCGGGAUUCGUCCACGUACGUGCUU
rnacentral:rRNA from 1 species